UUAGAUUUUAAUGUAAUUUAAAAUUAUUUUUGUUUGUAUGUAUUUUAGACAGAUAUGAGUUCUGUUGUUGAAGAAGUAAAUGAUAAACAUAUGGGACCUUGGGCAGAAGCUUGCAAUAAAGAUGGAGUGGAAAAUAGUCCCUUGUCUCCAUAUAUAGAUCAAGAGCUUCUUUAUAAUAAGCAUUUAUAUUUGCAAACAGGAAAAUUAUUGAGUAUUGGAUUUACUUAUCUUUAUCCAAAACUCACAAAAGAUGCUUUGAAAGAGGUUCUUGAUGAUUAUGUAAACAUGAAAAUAUUUCCACAUUCUUUGGUUCUAUAAAUUUUAACAUUACAGACUGCCAAGAUCAAAUACUGAAGAAGCUUACAAUAAUUUUUAUGAAAUAAUUUUUGGAGCGUUUCACCUUGUGCCUAGUAAUCUAUGCAAAUUGCAUACUUUGUAUUUGCAUAUUGUAUGUUAUACACCUUACUCGUAUUUUACCAGCUAACAAAUAUUGUUAGUCAUGUUUAUAAAAAAAUGGAAUAUGAAGAUUUCAUGUAUAAGCCUAUUGCGAUUGUGAUAAACUAGGAUUUAAUGUACUUAAUUUUAUUAUAGUUUGAGGUAUGAAAUUUUUGCAUCUUAAAGUUGCUAGUCAAGUUUCAACAUUAUACAUAUAAUUUGAAGUUAAAGAAUAAUGAAGAAUGAACGUAAAACUAGAUAUUUACAUGCCUAAAUAUAAUAUAUUAUAGCACAUAACAUUAUUUGGAUAUAUAUUUUAGAGAAUCAUGUAUAUCGCUAAAAUGCUUUUUAUACUAAAUUUUUAAGACUUUAAGACUUUUAAGAAGGAUAAAUAAAAUUGUUAAACAAUUAAUGAAAUCUGUAGAAA